GUUAAUCUCAGGAGCAAACAUUUGUUCCCCCUCCUCCUCCCCUCCUGGGAUUCUCAAGGUGUGGUCUCGGGAUCAUCAACAGCAGCUGCAGAAGCAUCUGGGAAAAUGCAGAUUCUUAACCACCGGACCACCAGGGGAAGUCCUGUUGGAAAGUCCUGGAAGGAAGUUCUCUGCUGCUGCUGCUGCUGCUAAGUCACUUCAGUUGUGUCCGACUCUGUGCGACCCCAUAGACGACCUCCUACCAGGCUCCUCUGUCCCUGGGAUUCUCCAGGCAAGAACACUGGAGUGGGUUGCCAUUGUAUUCUCCAAUGCAUGAAAGUGAAAAGUGAAAGUGAAGUUGCUCAGUCGUGUCCGACUCUUAGCGACCUCACGGACUGCAGCCUACCAGGCUCCUCCGUCCAUGGGAUUUUCCAGGCAAGAGUACUGGAGUGGGGUGCCAUUGCAUUCUCCAGGAAGUUCUCUAGGAAAAUGCAAAUUCUUGACCUCACCUGAGAGGUGAGCAAGCCUGGAGGGUGGAGCCAAGAAAUCUGUGUUGUAAAAAACCCUCUAGGGGAUUCCAACGCACCUGGAGUUUGAGAAGCACCAUCAGAGCUAACAGAAGCCUGAUUUUGUCCAGGUCUUGUACAACUAGGACAUUUGCAUUCCUCUCUGCCAGUUAUUCAUUAAGGGCAGGUGUGGGGCCCAGUUCUGGUUAAUGAGACAGAGGGGGUUCUGGAAAGAUCCCCCAUCUUCACCCCCUGUGAAAACAGGGAAGUCAUCUGAGGAGAAGGCCUGCCCUGUCUUAGCACCAUUGAACGGAUAUGGUCAGAGGCUGUGUACAGAGGGGUUAAACGUGAGGGCUCUGCAGUCACAUUGCUGGGGCGUGCAUCCCAGGGUAGAGGGCAAAGGGAAGAAUGGAGUAAAACAGUAAUAGUUAUACUGCUAACAUUCAUCAAGAGCUUUCCAUGUGCCAGGUGCUAAGUGCUUCACCUAGCCAUAUUUCACCCUCACUGCAGUUCUAAGAGGUAGGUUCUGUUAUUCCCAUUUUAUAGAUGGGGAAACUGAGGCAUGGAGAGGUUUAAAUAACUUGCCCAAAGUCACACAACUGAUAGAUGGAGUCCACGAUUCAGACUCAGGCCGGGGAGGGUGGACAUCCAAGGCCACGAGAAAGACCUUGGCUUUCUCCAAAGAGCCAUGGGAAGCUGUUGAAAGGUUGUGAGCUCAGGUGGCAGCUCUGAUUCACCCUUUAAGUCUCUGAAGCUCUUUGCUCAUAAAAUUCUCCAGGUGGCUGGGGCCAAGCCAAAUACACUUGCAGGGCUUGUUCUUCAGCCUCUUUUGUUUGCCUCUGAGCCAUCAACCCCCUUAGCAAACUCAGAGCCUUGGGUGACUCUGUGGGACUAGGGUGACUCAUGCUGGUGGGGGUGGGAGAACCACAAAUCCCAGUCACUUUCUGGGGAAAAAAUAAAUAGCACCAAAUCACUAUGGUAUUAGUUCCACAACGAGAAGAGAAAGAUGAUUUUUGGAGAGUGGGAUUAUAGGUGAUUUUUUUAAAUCCAAAAUUUUACAGUUUCUAUCAGUUGACCAUGUAUCACUUGUUAUUUGAAAGCCAAUUUAUUAUGUAGAAAAAGAAAGAAGAGAGGCCAGAACUCAGCCCUCUCCGGGUGGUUGGCUUCUGCUGGUUCCAGCUUUCCCUGAAACAGGCAGAAUGAUGACUAAUUCUAGAAGACUGCUGGUGGACCGCGUGCCAGUCCCUUCCUCAGGGCUUUCUGUGCUGUGUGUUAGCUCAUUUAAUCCUCAGCGGGUCACAAAGCUGAGGAGUGGCAGGCUGGAGUUCCGCCUCUCAACCAUGUACGCUGCUGCUUUUCUGAAAAUGGUUUCCAAGUCCCUUGUGGAUGAAAGGCCCGUCCUGCCGUCCCCCUACUGCAGUGAAAACGGCCUCCGUUCUGGGCGGCAGGCUCACUCAGGGUGGGGCUGGGAGCGGGGGAAAUCGAGGAGAGUGGACAGGAGGUUCCCGCAGUUGUUUGAAUCCUUGGAAUCCCAGACAAAACUCAUUCUUCUGCUUCUGUCAGCGCACAGACCCAGCAGCCUAGAUCCCAGGCUCUUGGGACUCGCAUGAUACAUGUG
ensembl:lncRNA